UGACACAACCCGCACGUCUCAUCUUCUCCAAUCGAGAAGCGGCCUCUACGACACGUGCACAUCGAUGCCGGAGCUCCCAGUUCAGCUUCGCCGCGCUCCUCCCCUGAUCUCAUGUGCGUCCUUCCCCGCCGUCGUAGUUGCCUUCUCCGCCGCUCCCUUCUGGCUCGCGCAGCUCCCCUUCCCCCCUUGCCUAUCAGUUGAAUCUCCCCUUGUUCAACCCAAAAAUCGUUUCUUCUUCCUCCGGUUUGUGUCUCCUGUUCGCGCACACGGCCUCCUCGUCGACCCCGCCGCCGGAGGAUACGCGGGGUAGGCAACAGAGGCUCGCACUGCGCCUGCACGACCUCUCAUGCGCGUGGGCCGCCGCAUCGCGGGCCUACGCACCGGUCGCCGCCUCGGCCGUGCGCCCGUCCGCAGAGGAGGAUGCGGGGAUUGCGUUCGCCGCCAAGGUGUCCUCGAUCUUCUUCAUACUGACCCGGCAACUCCCAACUUUGUGCCAGAGGAUGUAAAAAUGAGACACGCCUUCUUAAUACUGACCCGACAGGGCCUGAGGUUCGAGUGCUCGAGCAGCUGCGAGAUACAGAGGAGGAGUAACACUGUCACGUGCACGGGCAGAGCUCCACCAAGACAAGGGAGCUGCUACUGGAGCUCUGCUGAUGAUCAAAACGAUCACAACAAGGGAGCUACGGAUUAAUUUCCCUCUGUAUCAGUUGAAGGUGAGAGGCGGACUACCAGAGUCGGAGGCGGAGGCCUCGGGGAUCGGGUGGCGGCGAUUGGGGGGGUGUCGGUGUCGCCCACCAGCAGCAGCGACGGUAGCAGAGGCGACGCCCACCACCACCACAAUCAGUCGACGGCUGAAGUAGACUAGCACGGCGACCAGCCUGACGGCCGUGAGCGGCGGAAUCGGGGGUGAAGCACACUAGUGAGGCGGCGGAGGUCUUGUUGGUGGGUGCACGGCGGAAUCGGGGGUGAAGCACACUAGUGAGGCGGCGGAGGUCUUGUUGGUGGGUGCACGGCGGAAUCGGGGGUGAAGCACACUAGUGAGGCGGCGGAGGUCUUGUUGGUGGGUGCACUCGCCUGCGGCGCAAGACCUUCUCUUGAAUACGGUUGGUUGCGGAGGCUGGCCGUGGCGACGCGGGUGGCAGGAGGAGGAAGGAAAGAGAGGGGGAUUUAUUUCUAGAACUUCGCAAGUAGAAGGACUAAAAUGCAAAAAAAAAAAUGUACUACGCCCAUAACAAUUGUCUUUAUGCAUCUUGUUCAUCCGUGACUCUCACAAAGCAGAACAGUUUACUUUUGUUAAGAUUAAUCUUUAGGACCGAUAUAUAAUUGUUUAAAUAUGCAUAACACAAGCUUCAUAUUUCCGGCCUUUCCAUGUCAUGUUUCAUAAAGAUGAUUGUAUCAUCCGCGUACUGUUGUAUGAAACCUCCAACAUAAAAAAGAUGUGGAACUAGACUUACUACGUGUCCGUCCUAGCUUUACCUGUGAGAAUUGCCAACAUACCUACCACUAUGAUGAACAAGAUAGGUGACAUGGGGUCCCCUGCCUGAAACCCUUUUGUGUCUGGAAGUAGUGACCUAUGGUGUUAUUUACUUUAAUUUCAACAUUGCCUUUUUGUACAUCAGAAUCGAGUUGCGUCCUUCAUAAAUCGUCGAAUCCCUUCAUACAUAAGGCUUGUUGGAGAAACGGUUAUUUAACCUUAUGAUACUCUUUUUCGAAAUUCACCAUAAAAACCACGCCUUCUAGUAUGUGUCUAUCCGACAUUAAAAUUGUCUGAGUUGGUUACACCACACUAUGUGUAAUCCGUGCUAGUCAAUAGUCUAUGUUCUGGCCUUGAAUCUCGAAUCCAAAGGAGUUGCUAUCAUGCUUCUUUCUGUACUUGGAAUAUGACUAAAGCUGGAGCCACUUAAAACGAGUUGUAAGAGGAGCAUCUAUGGAAGGAAAGUAUGGAACUUUCUGAAUGACGUAGACUACUGAGAAAGUUUUUCUACUUAAUAUAGUUGAUGCAUGUCGAUCUUACAAGGUAAUUUCAAAUUCCCUGUAUGCUACAACACUACAUAGUUGUUUUGAGCGAAUCGGAUCGUGAUUUCUCCAUACUGAUAUUUUAUAAAUUUUCAGAUUACAAAGUAUGGUACAAGGAGGGAGAAGGAGAAGACAUGAAACACCUGGGAGGCAGUUUUUUUUAAAAGGACCUGAGAGGUAGAUGACCUACAAAAACUUAAGAAGACAAACUGUGUACGUGUUGAUGUGCAUGUCCACAGCAUUUUUCACGUUAACUACAGUUUUCUUUUUGAAACGAAGGCUCGCGCUGACCCGGUUUUAAAUUAACAAAGCCAUCAACCGACCAGGAUUACAACUGUCAACACCUUACAAGCAAGAAAAAAAAAUACACGACAGAUACAAGGUGCAUAAACGAGACAGCUCAAAGGCCACGACAUAGCGAUCAAAAAGCAUCGCAAUGCCACGGCCAUCGCCCUAUGGUACAACCUACACCUGCAAAACAGACUAAGGGCUACCGAGGAAUGCACCAUCGCACUUAAAUAGAUGUCACAGCCGUCCUUGAAUGAUCAGACAUGGACAAAAACAUCAUCUGGCUCGAAUGUUGAGACAUGGGCAAAAACAUCAUCUGUAUCCGUCGUCGUAGAAGGCCUCUAUCCUCUCAGCCUGGUUCGGAGGGUGCCGCACCGGCAGCCGAUAGGUCGGUUCUCCCUAGAAUUCAGGUAGAUGGCACCCAAGUUGCCAAUGAGAAGAAACUUAAACAUCAUCAUUAAGAUGAAACUGAAACAGAUCCUUAACUACGUUCGAAUGCACCCCGUAGCCCGAAGGACAUAUGUGUAGAUUCAUACAUAUGUUCUACACGUUUUAUUUGUUUAUACUUACAAAUUAUUUUGGCAAAGUUAAUUAAUACUGAAGAGAAGCCACUGGAACAUGGAUAUGAAAAUCAACAUACAUUGGAAAUGCAUACACAAUUCAUCAGAUUA